GCGCCCGUAGCUCAGUCGGAUAGAGCGCAAGAUUCCUAAUCUUGAGGUCACAGGUUCGAAUCCUGUCGGGCGCGCCA
rnacentral:tRNA from 3 species